UACGUAGGGUGCAAGCGUUGUCCGGAAUUAUUGGGCGUAAAGGGCUCGUAGGCGGUCUGUCGCGUCGGGUGUGAAAACUCAGGGCUUAACCCUGAGCCUGCUUCCGAUACGGGCAGACUAGAGGUAUGCAGGGGAGAACGGAAUUCCUGGUGUAGCGGUGGAAUGCGCAGAUAUCAGGAGGAACACCGGUGGCGAAGGCGGUUCUCUGGGCAGUACCUGACGCUGAGGAGCGAAAGGGUGGGGAGCGAACAGG
rnacentral:rRNA from 1 species